rnacentral:rRNA from 1 species
GGUUAAGCGACUAAGCGUACACGGUGGAUGCCCUGGCAGUCAGAGGCGAUGAAGGACGUGCUAAUCUGCGAUAAGCGUCGGUAAGGUGAUAUGAACCGUUAUAACCGGCGAUUUCCGAAUGGGGAAACCCAGUGUGUUUCGACACACUAUCAUUAACUGAAUCCAUAGGUUAAUGAGGCGAACCGGGGGAACUGAAACAUCUAAGUACCCCGAGGAAAAGAAAUCAACCGAGAUUCCCCCAGUAGCGGCGAGCGAACGGGGAGGAGCCCAGAGCCUGAAUCAGUGUGUGUGUUAGUGGAAGCGUCUGGAAAGGCGCGCGAUACAGGGUGACAGCCCCGUACACAAAAAUGCACAUAUUGUGAGCUCGAUGAGUAGGGCGGGACACGUGGUAUCCUGUCUGAAUAUGGGGGGACCAUCCUCCAAGGCUAAAUACUCCUGACUGACCGAUAGUGAACCAGUACCGUGAGGGAAAGGCGAAAAGAACCCCGGCGAGGGGAGUGAAAAAGAACCUGAAACCGUGUACGUACAAGCAGUGGGAGCACGCUUAGGCGUGUGACUGCGUACCUUUUGUAUAAUGGGUCAGCGACUUAUAUUCUGUAGCAAGGUUAACCGAAUAGGGGAGCCGAAGGGAAACCGAGUCUUAACUGGGCGUUAAGUUGCAGGGUAUAGACCCGAAACCCGGUGAUCUAGCCAUGGGCAGGUUGAAGGUUGGGUAACACUAACUGGAGGACCGAACCGACUAAUGUUGAAAAAUUAGCGGAUGACUUGUGGCUGGGGGUGAAAGGCCAAUCAAACCGGGAGAUAGCUGGUUCUCCCCGAAAGCUAUUUAGGUAGCGCCUCGUGAAUUCAUCUCCGGGGGUAGAGCACUGUUUCGGCAAGGGGGUCAUCCCGACUUACCAACCCGAUGCAAACUGCGAAUACCGGAGAAUGUUAUCACGGGAGACACACGGCGGGUGCUAACGUCCGUCGUGAAGAGGGAAACAACCCAGACCGCCAGCUAAGGUCCCAAAGUCAUGGUUAAGUGGGAAACGAUGUGGGAAGGCCCAGACAGCCAGGAUGUUGGCUUAGAAGCAGCCAUCAUUUAAAGAAAGCGUAAUAGCUCACUGGUCGAGUCGGCCUGCGCGGAAGAUGUAACGGGGCUAAACCAUGCACCGAAGCUGCGGCAGCGACACUAUGUGUUGUUGGGUAGGGGAGCGUUCUGUAAGCCUGCGAAGGUGUGCUGUGAGGCAUGCUGGAGGUAUCAGAAGUGCGAAUGCUGACAUAAGUAACGAUAAAGCGGGUGAAAAGCCCGCUCGCCGGAAGACCAAGGGUUCCUGUCCAACGUUAAUCGGGGCAGGGUGAGUCGACCCCUAAGGCGAGGCCGAAAGGCGUAGUCGAUGGGAAACAGGUUAAUAUUCCUGUACUUGGUGUUACUGCGAAGGGGGGACGGAGAAGGCUAUGUUGGCCGGGCGACGGUUGUCCCGGUUUAAGCGUGUAGGCUGGUUUUCCAGGCAAAUCCGGAAAAUCAAGGCUGAGGCGUGAUGACGAGGCACUACGGUGCUGAAGCAACAAAUGCCCUGCUUCCAGGAAAAGCCUCUAAGCAUCAGGUAACAUCAAAUCGUACCCCAAACCGACACAGGUGGUCAGGUAGAGAAUACCAAGGCGCUUGAGAGAACUCGGGUGAAGGAACUAGGCAAAAUGGUGCCGUAACUUCGGGAGAAGGCACGCUGAUACGUAGGUGAAGUCCCUCGCGGAUGGAGCUGAAAUCAGUCGAAGAUACCAGCUGGCUGCAACUGUUUAUUAAAAACACAGCACUGUGCAAACACGAAAGUGGACGUAUACGGUGUGACGCCUGCCCGGUGCCGGAAGGUUAAUUGAUGGGGUCAGCGCAAGCGAAGCUCUUGAUCGAAGCCCCGGUAAACGGCGGCCGUAACUAUAACGGUCCUAAGGUAGCGAAAUUCCUUGUCGGGUAAGUUCCGACCUGCACGAAUGGCGUAAUGAUGGCCAGGCUGUCUCCACCCGAGACUCAGUGAAAUUGAACUCGCUGUGAAGAUGCAGUGUACCCGCGGCAAGACGGAAAGACCCCGUGAACCUUUACUAUAGCUUGACACUGAACAUUGAGCCUUGAUGUGUAGGAUAGGUGGGAGGCUUGGAAGUGUGGACGCCAGUCUGCAUGGAGCCGACCUUGAAAUACCACCCUUUAAUGUUUGAUGUUCUAACGUUGACCCGUGAUCCGGGUUGCGGACAGUGUCUGGUGGGUAGUUUGACUGGGGCGGUCUCCUCCUAAAGAGUAACGGAGGAGCACGAAGGUUGGCUAAUCCUGGUCGGACAUCAGGAGGUUAGUGCAAUGGCAUAAGCCAGCUUGACUGCGAGCGUGACGGCGCGAGCAGGUGCGAAAGCAGGUCAUAGUGAUCCGGUGGUUCUGAAUGGAAGGGCCAUCGCUCAACGGAUAAAAGGUACUCCGGGGAUAACAGGCUGAUACCGCCCAAGAGUUCAUAUCGACGGCGGUGUUUGGCACCUCGAUGUCGGCUCAUCACAUCCUGGGGCUGAAGUAGGUCCCAAGGGUAUGGCUGUUCGCCAUUUAAAGUGGUACGCGAGCUGGGUUUAGAACGUCGUGAGACAGUUCGGUCCCUAUCUGCCGUGGGCGCUGGAGAACUGAGGGGGGCUGCUCCUAGUACGAGAGGACCGGAGUGGACGCAUCACUGGUGUUCGGGUUGUCAUGCCAAUGGCACUGCCCGGUAGCUAAAUGCGGAAGAGAUAAGUGCUGAAAGCAUCUAAGCACGAAACUUGCCCCGAGAUGAGUUCUCCCUGACCCUUUAAGGGUCCUGAAGGAACGUUGAAGACGACGACGUUGAUAGGCCGGGUGUGUAAGCGCAGCGAUGCGUUGAGCUAACCGGUACUAAUGAACCGUGAGGCUUAACCUU